rnacentral:rRNA from 1 species
GAUGAACGCUGGCGGCGUGCCUAAUACAUGCAAGUCGAGCGAACAGACGAGGAGCUUGCUCCUCUGACGUUAGCGGCGGACGGGUGAGUAACACGUGGAUAACCUACCUAUAAGACUGGGAUAACUUCGGGAAACCGGAGCUAAUACCGGAUAAUAUAUUGAACCGCAUGGUUCAAUAGUGAAAGACGGUUUUGCUGUAACUUAUAGAUGGAUCCGCGCCGCAUUAGCUAGUUGGUAAGGUAACGGCUUACCAAGGCAACGAUGCGUAGCCGACCUGAGAGGGUGGUCGGCCACACUGGAACUGAGACACGGUCCAGACUCCUACGGGAGGCAGCAGUAGGGAAUCUUCCGCAAUGGGCGAAAGCCUGACGGAGCAACGCCGCGUGAGUGAUGAAGGUCUUCGGAUCGUAAAACUCUGUUAUUAGGGAAGAACAAAUGUGUAAGUAACUAUGCACGUCUUGACGGUACCUAAUCAGAAAGCCACGGCUAACUACGUG